rnacentral:rRNA from 1 species
AUUGAACGCUGGCGGCAGGCUUAACACAUGCAAGUCGAGCGGAGAGAGGUAGCUUGCUACUGAUCUUAGCGGCGGACGGGUGAGUAAUGCUUAGGAAUCUGCCUAUUAGUGGGGGACAACAUUUCGAAAGGAAUGCUAAUACCGCAUACGUCCUACGGGAGAAAGCAGGGGAUCUUCGGACCUUGCGCUAAUAGAUGAGCCUAAGUCGGAUUAGCUAGUUGGUGGGGUAAAGGCCUACCAAGGCGACGAUCUGUAGCGGGUCUGAGAGGAUGCUCCGCCACACUGGGACUGGAACACGGCCCAGACUCCUACGGGAGGCAGCAGUGGGGAAUAUUGGACAAUGGGCGCAAGCCUGAUCCAGCCAUGCCGCGUGUGUGAAGAAGGCCUUAUGGUUGUAAAGCACUUUAAGCGAGGAGGAGGCUACUUUAGUUAAUACCUAGAGAUGGUGGACGUUACUCGCAGAAUAAGCACCGGCUAACUCUGUGCCAGCCGCCGCAGUAACAC